rnacentral:piRNA from 1 species
UCCUUCAGAUUAGACAUAGGUCCUGCCUU